CCUAGCGAGUCCCCGGAGGGUCCCCAGAGCACGCGCGCUGUCGGACCCGGGCCAGGCCACCCAGCGGCAGUGCGAGCCCACCCAGCACCCGCCCAGGCGGCGGCGGCCCGACAGGGAAAUGUGGGAACAGAGCCCCCAACAAGUUAUGCAGCCGAUUCUGGCAUUUGUGGAAAUCACAGUGGUCAGCACAUCUGAAUGCAAUGGAUGAGCCUCAUCCUGGAUCUCCCUGCCUGCUGAGUAUGUGAGCUUGCAUGUACGUAGUGAACAAGCUGGCCCACAACUCCACCAGGGACCAAGCCACCCCAGCCAUUACCUCAGCCAUCCUGCCUCCCCUACCAAGAGGGCUGUGCUCUCCAAACUGUAAGACAUCGGGUGUUGCAUCUCUAAGACAUCAGGUGUUGCAUCACAGUGACAUGAAAGUGAGCUCAUACAUCAGCGUGUUCAUUUGUCAAAUCUCAUCAAACCACAUUUAGAUACAUAUCACAGAAUGUGGUAGGAUAUACACUUUAGAACUCACAAUGAGAUCCAUGAAAAACUGGCAUAGGAAGCACCAGAGUCUAUGAGAGGGGUCAUCGAGAAAGGUUAUAAGGAAGAUCCAGCAUUUACAUGGAGCCUUCAAGAGUGGGUAGGAUUUGGAAGGGAAUGUGAUAAUCAGAAACGUGAAGGAACUCAGGCAUAGCAAUGUAAGAAGAGGCUGUGUAGCUGGAACCCCAGUACCUCCUCAAAGCAAGGGAAAAAAAGAACAGAAUAAGCAUGUAGGGGAGCUGGGAGUGAUCACAUGGGCUCCUCAUUGGAGAGACUGGUUGAAGGCCAGAUCCUUGGAGACUAGGGAAUGUAUUCCCUGGGGUCCACAGCAAUGUGCCAGGGGCAGACUGGGCACCUAGCCCACUUCUGGGCACAUAGAAAAAUACUCAAUAAAUGUUUCUUCAAGCAAAUGCAAUAUAAAUAAUGGAACCGCUAAGAGGUCUCAGCCUAAGCAAUGGCUUGGAGCCCCAGAGAGAACCUGGGGCUCUGACUCACUCUGCAGAGAAGCUAUGCACAGUCCUAGAGCACUGAACUUGGACACAUUCUAUCACGCAGCUCAAGUCGCCCUGGGGGCACCAUAUAACUUUAUUGUAAGCUCAUGCAAUAACACAGGCAAAUGGAACAACAAUGUAAAGUUGGCUUUAAUUAAAAUGAAGGGUGUUUGCCUCUCCCUCCUUCUCCUGCUCAGCCGAGGCAGCCUGCUGAGCUAUAUGGAGCACUCAAAGGAAUGAGUCCAAAGCGGGAGGCAGCCUCCUAGCCGGAUGAGCUUUACCGGAUGUUGGAGUAUCCCCGUCCACUCCCCAGUCUCUACAACGCUCCACCUUACGUGAGCCACACAGCAGAAGACACCAGGAAAGCAGGAGCAGAAUCAACAAUGCCUUCCUAACAGGCCCCAGGAAAGGGAAAGAAAGGCAAGUGUUGCCAGUUAGUGGGGAUAGGGGAGAGGCUGCUGGUUACAAAAUGCUUGUCCAUGGAGGGAUCCCACCAGUACUGCCUCCUCAGCUGUGAGCAGUAGCUUCUGUUGGAGCCUGUCCUCAAAGGACUUCCUGUCUGGUAGGAAAUCAUGAAUGAAAAAGAUGUACCCAGAGCUGGGGUGAUAGCUCAGUCCACACAGCACUUUCUGCAUACACCCAAGGACCUGAAUUCAGUCCCCAGAACCCAUGUUGUUGUUGUGUUUGUUUUUUUUUUAAAGCCAGUCAUGGUGGUAAUCUCAGUGCUGGAGAAACAAAAGAAGGGGAUCUCUGGGGCUCGUUGCCAGUCAGUCAUGCCUAAUCUGCAAAUUCCAGACCAAGUGAGAGACAUUGUCUCAACAGAACAGCAAGGUGAAUGGUGCCUUAGGAACAACACCUGGAAUUGUCCUCUGUCAUCCACAUGUGCAGGUACAUAUAGACAUGUGUAUCCUCACACACAUGUACCCACAUAUAUAAACACAAACGCAGGUAGCCACUAAGAAAAUCAUGAAAACUCUGUGAACUCAGAGAUUUGUCUAUAGGAUCUGACAUCUGAAAAGGGAAGUUAAUUAUAAGGACUAAGUGACUUGUAAAAGAAUCACAUGUAAAAGGACCAAAAGAGAUGGCACAGGGCCGGGUGUCUUUGUGCUUCACAUACCCGAUACCAGCCUCGAUGUGCUGAGUGUCUUACGUGUUUCACAUACCCCAUACCAACCUCAAUGUGCUGAGUGUCCUAUGCACUUCACAUACAUACCCCAUACCAACUGUGAUGUGCUGGGUGUCCUAUGUGCUUCACAUACAUACCCCAUACCAACUGUGAUGUGCUGAGUGUUCUAUGUACUUCACAUGCAUACCCCAUACCAACUGUGAUGUGCUGAGUGUCCUAUGUACUUCACAUACAUACCCCAUACCAAUUGUGAUGUGCUGAGUGUCUUAUGUACUUCACAUGCAUACCCCAUACCAACUGUGAUGUGCUGAGUGUCCUAUGUGCUUCACAUGCAUACCCCAUACCAACUGUGAUGUGCUGGGUGUCCUAUGUGCUUCACAUACAUACCCCAUACCAACUGUGAUGUGCUGGGUGUCCUAUGUGCUUCACAUGCAUACCCCAUACCAACUGUGAUGUGCUGAGUGUCCUAUGUGCUUCACAUGCAUACCCCAUACCAACUGUGAUGUGCUGGGUGUCCUAUGUGCUUCACAUACAUACCCCAUACCAACUGUGAUGUGCUGAGUGUCUUAUGUACUUCACAUGCAUACCCCAUACCAACUGUGAUGUGCUGGGUGUCCUAUGUGCUUCACAUGCAUACCCCAUACCAACUGUGAUGUGCUGGGUGUCCUAUGUGCUUCACAUGCAUACCCCAUACCAACUGUGAUGUGCUGAGUGUCCUAUGUGCUUCACAUGCAUACCCCAUACCAACUGUGAUGUGCUGGGUGUCCUAUGUGCUUCACAUACAUACCCCAUACCAACUGUGAUGUGCUGAGUGUCUUAUGUACUUCACAUGCAUACCCCAUACCAACUGUGAUGUGCUGGGUGUCCUAUGUGCUUCACAUGCAUACCCCAUACCAAUUGUGAUGUGCUGAGUGUCUUAUGUACUUCACAUGCAUACCCCAUACCAACUGUGAUGUGCUGAGUGUCCUAUGUGCUUCACAUACAUACCCCAUACCAAUUGUGAUGUGCUGAGUGUCUUAUGUACUUCACAUACUCCAUACCAGCCGUGAUGUGCUGAUUAGAUGUAAUGGUGCCAAGUUGCUGUUGCUGAAGAGAGGAAGUCUAGAGUAUCAGCUAACUCUUUUGGUGUAAAUUCUCCCAUAAUUGCAGAUUUCAAGUUGCCAAGAUGAUAUUAAUCAAUUCAAGAGAUUCCCAAAAAGCUAGAUAACAACUAGCUAUUCAGGUUGAUCCCAGGGCACCACUGGACCUGGCUGUCUGAGGUGCUCUCAGCUGCAAGAGGAAUUUUGAGCAUCUACAUCUCAGGCCAAGAUUUGCAUUCAAAUGAUAGCUCCAAACUAAGAUUUGUGCCCAGAGGUCUGAAUUCCAACAAUAACAAUAUAAUCCAAGCACAGCUACUAUCUACUGAAGCUCUGUCUUAGGCCAUAUUCCCCUUCUGAAGUUUGUUUUGUUUUAGUUUUUACAAAUCAAUGCAUUAAAGCCUCACAAUCAUUGAUAUACUACUAUUAUUCUAUUCUGUAGAUGAGAAAACAGUCUCAACAAGGGUAAGUUUCUAGCCUCUGAUCACACAGCUUACUUUGUGCUCUGGAAGAUACUGCAAAUAGCAGUCCUCUGAAUACCCUCCCUUCCUGCAUUGAUCCAAUGUAGAGCAGGUAGAAGCCAGAAAACUCUCCUUCAUCCUCAGGACCCUUUGAGAGCCAGGCUAAGGCAGCUGAUGUAGAUGCUGUCAAUCAGCAUACCUACGGGAAACCUGGGUUUAGAAGGAGGAAGAGACAGGGACAGGGGAGGGACCGUUGUGUCUGGACCUAUGGCAGAAGCAUCCAGUCUUCUGAGUGGCGGAGGCUUUGGCAUCCAGCUCAAAUGCUGUAGAGACUAGGUAACCAAGCAAUGGUUUUUACUAAAUCAUCCCUGCAGACUGUUCAAACCAUAUUCCUGAGGUGCUCCCCAGCACCUAUGAGCUGUCCAACAACUUGGAAUGAAUUUCUACUCUCUUUAAUCUACCCCAAAUAGACUCUGUAAGGAACUGCAAUAAAACAGGAAAUCUAGGGCUCAAGUUUGGGUUCUUGUCUCCAGAACUCAACCUUCUAUGCACACAACGUGGCCCAAUUUCUCCUCUCCUCUCCACAACUCUUCAACUAAGCCUUCUGCCAUGCUACCGAUGAGGAAACGAAACCCAAAAGAGAUCUAGGCCUGGACUUCUGGCCCAAGCCUGUAAUCUCAGCUGUUCAGGAGGCUGAGAUAGGAGAGUGGCAAGUUCAAGGACUGUCUGGGUUAUAGAGUGAGUUCAAGGCCAGACUGGAAAGUUAGUGAGAGCCUGCCUCAAAUUAAAAAAAAAUAAAAUGGCACUGGAUAUAUAAGACAGUGAUAGAGUGCUUGCCCAAUAUA